CCAGUGACUGAUGCCACGCAUAUGCUGCAGAUCCUCCAAAACAGUGCUCCAAGUUCUGCUAUUGCAGUAUUCAAAAAACGCAGAAGAGGGCAAAACAGCUCCACAACAGAGUCUCGGACCAAGAAUGCUAAACAAGCCUGCCGUUCCGCCCCACUUCCCAUGUUGGAAAUGAUGAGGGUUCA
rnacentral:lncRNA from 1 species